GACGAACGCUGGCGGCGUGCCUAAUACAUGCAAGUCGAGCGCUGAAGGUUGGUACUUGUACCGACUGGAUGAGCAGCGAACGGGUGAGUAACGCGUGGGGAAUCUGCCUUUGAGCGGGGGACAACAUCUGGAAACGAAUGCUAAUACCGCAUAAAAACUUUAAACACAAGUUUUAAGUUUGAAAGACGCAAUUGCAUCACUCAAAGAUGAUCCCGCGUUGUAUUUGCUAGUUGGUGAGGUAAAGGCCCACCCAGGCGAUGAUACAUAGCCGACCUGGGAGGGGGGUCGGCCACAUUGGGACUGGGACACGGCCCAAACUCCUACGGGGGGCAGCAGUAGGGGAACUUCGGCAAUGGGCGGAAGGCUGACCGGGCAACGCCGCGUGAGUGAAGAAGGGUUUCGGAUCGUAAAACUCUGUUGGUAGGGAAGAACGUUGGUGGGAGUGGAAAGCUCAUCAAGUGACGGUAACUACCCAGAAAGGGACGGCUAACUACGUG
rnacentral:rRNA from 1 species